rnacentral:rRNA from 1 species
AGAAUCCUAAGGUGUGCGAGAGAACUCUCGUUAAGGAACUCGGCAAAAUGACCCCGUAACUUCGGGAGAAGGGGUGCUGACCGCAAGGUCAGCCGCAGUGAAUAGGCCCAAGCGACUGUUUAUCAAAAACACAGGUCUCUGCAAAAUCGAAAGAUGACGUAUAGGGGCUGACGCCUGCCCGGUGCUGGAAGGUUAAGAGGAGAGGUUAGCGCAAGCGAAGCUUUGAAUUGAAGCCCCAGUAAACGGCGGCCGUAACGAUAACGAUCCUAAGGUAGCGAAAUUCCUUGUCGGGUAAGUUCCGACCCGCACGAAAGGCGUAACGAUUUGGGCACUGUCUCAACGAGAGACUCGGUGAAAUUAUAGUACCAGUGAAGAUGCUGGUUACCCGCGACAGGACGGAAAGACCCCAUGGAGCUUUACUGCAGUUUGAUAUUGCGUGUUUGUAUCACAUGUACAGGAUAGGUAGGAGCCAAUGAUACCGGGACGCCAGUCUCGGAGGAGGCAACGGUGGGAUACUACCCUUGUGAUAUGACCACUCUAACCCGCUGCUCUUAGCGAGCAGGGAGACAGUGUCAGACGGGCAGUUUGACUGGGGCGGUCGCCUCCAAAAAUGUAACGGAGGCGCCCAAAGGUUCCCUCAGAAUGGUUGGAAAUCAUUCGUAGAGUGUAAAGGCAGAAGGGAGCUUGACUGCGAGACCUACAAGUCGAGCAGGGACGAAAGUCGGGCUUAGUGAUCCGGUGGUUCCGCAUGGAAGGGCCAUCGCUCAACGGAUAAAAGCUACCCUGGGGAUAACAGGCUUAUCUCCCCCAAGAGUUCACAUCGACGGGGAGGUUUGGCACCUCGAUGUCGGCUCAUCGCAUCCUGGGGCUGUAGUCGGUCCCAAGGGUUGGGCUGUUCGCCCAUUAAAGCGGUACGCGAGCUGGGUUCAGAACGUCGUGAGACAGUUCGGUCCCUAUCCGUCGCGGGCGUUGGAAAUUUGAGAGGAGCUGUCCUUAGUACGAGAGGACCGGGAUGGUCACACCGCUGGUGUACCAGUUGUUCUGCCAAGAGCAUCGCUGGGUAGCUAUGUGUGGACGGGAUAAACGCUGAAAGCAUCUAAGCGUGAAGCCCCCCUCAAGAUGAGAUUUCCCAUCACUUUAAGUGAGUAAGACCCCUGAGAGAUGAUCAGGUAGAUAGGUUGGGAGUGGAAGUACAGCGAUGUAUGGAGCGGACCAAUACUAAUCGGUCGAGGACUUAAUC